ensembl:lncRNA
CACAAGGGCAAAAUAGGCCCAUUAGUUCGGAGGGAAACAUGGGACUCACAGAGUAGUGAUACCAAGAACUUUAAGAUCCGGGAUAGCCGCUCCCCCAAAAAUGGCGACGGCCCACUCCUCAAAUAACAGGCGUAACAGGCGCCGCACCUCUACACGCCAUACUUCCAAAGAAGAACAAGCAAUGACGCAGACACGUCAGGUUGUCAGCUCAGAGGCACAAUAACCAGGACGAGGUGAAGACGGCUUUCAACAUCUUCUCUUUCCAUGGUUUAUUAUCCUGCAUUAAUGUGGCUGUUCAGUUGUGAAUAACUGUGAAUUGAAAUGGUAGAAAAUGAGUUAAGAAGGCAAACGCAAGAAUAUAUCCAGUAUAAUUCCUGAUGUGCUGCAGCUUAAUUGCUUUUCUAUUAAAUGUCAUUUAGAUUUAAUUUGCAUUCAUGCAUAACACACACACACGCACGUCGGUGGUAUUGGUGGUAGUUUCCUCACAUGCAAAUUCCGAAGUCUAAACUGCAAAAUUAAAAAAUCUCAAUCAUCCUGUUUAGUUUGGAUGGCUUGUUCCAUUACAUGAAGAUGUCUGCAGUAAAUAACUGCUGUAAUUUAACAAAGCGAGCAAAGAGCAGCCGACUUGUAAUUCAUAAAAUCAUGAUCAUGGAUCUGCCAAUAUGUGAACGUAACGAUUUGGCCCUCUGGAAAACAAUCCUCUCCGAUCCACAACGGCUCCACGCAGCUGGGGACGGGUUGAGCGGUUGUAAAGAAACCCCUCAUUAAGUUCACAACCCCGGAAAAGCCGCGGCAAGGCAAUAAAGCAUCAGAGAACACAAUGUUCUGCCGUCCAAGCGGAACUCGAAGCGGGAGGCCUCCCGUUGUAGAAGCAGGGCAAGCAAGGUGUGAACUCGGGAGACUGAUCUCC